AUGGCAUGGGUUCGCAAUGCCCUAGGGCUGCUUCCCUCUCCACAGGCAGCACAAGCAUCCCUCCACCCAGCCACGGGUGGCCCGUGCACCCUAGUGCUGGUGGCAGAGUACCUCAGGAGCGCUCCCGGCCCUGGUAAAAGCCAUGCCCCUGCAGAAGUGCUAUGUGCAGAGAGCAAACUCCAGCAACGCAUCAUGUUCCAUGCUGCAGCAGACGCCAAAGAGAGUCAGACCAGAGCAGGUGCUGCCUGGAUGCCCACAGUCAGCGUAACAGUGCAGCCCCACCGUGAGCUCAGCACUUCAUGCCCUGGUUCGUUUGCCAGACAUGCCUGCAUGUGUCAGCACCUCAUCUGGGUUAAAUUCAUGCUGCUUGGUGCUCCAACUGCUAGUGACAGCUCUGGGUGCUGACCUCUGCUGUCAGCCACCACUGAGCCUCCUGCCAGACACCUGGAUAUACGUAUCUGGAGAUACCUGGAGCAUCCUGGGCAACAGGCAUGGACAACUAGCUCAGACCAGAUGCUCAGCAUUUGCAUGGCUGAAGUUAGCUGAGGUGAAGCCCUGCUGAAAGCUGAAGCUAUCUCACCACAAGGAGGACAUCCUGCUUCUCCCCUCCUGGUCCCAGCUUCCCUCUCCCUGCAGCUGCCAGCCAUGCAGUCCUGACCCUUCCCUUGCACUGACUCUGCACCUCCUCAGCCCUUUGCUGAGCCCCUGUGACCAAAUACUGUAGGGCAAAACUGCAAGGACAGCUACAAGGAUCAGUCUUGGCCUAGUUUGCGAGUUGGCUCCACUCAUGGAGCACAGGGCCAGCGAGUGCCAGAACUGGGCAUGGACAGGGGAUGGGGAGUGAUGGGGACCUUCACACCAACAGCUCGGACUGGCUCUCCCUGCCUCACGUACCUGCACCCAAGUGCUCAGGCCAUGAACCCCAGCGGGAGUACAGCUCGCCACUUGUUUGGAGGCUUGCAGUGACUCCACAGCUUUCCUGUGAACAUGGUAUUUCCUCCUUGGGUCCAUGGCAGCCUGUGAUUCUGGCACGCAGCACCAUGCCUAUAGCUCACUGUUAAAUGCUUACGUCCUUGCUAUACUCACAGGAAAGAGAGUUGCGAUAAGGCCUACACAUACAGCAAAAUGCACACCAAAAUCGUUACUACCUGAUGUGAAUGAAAGAGUGACUCACGAGAAGGAAUUCAGCACAGCAAUAUUACUCAUGCAAGAAGACUUUCAGGAGAACACCUUAGGAGGCACCUCAGUGGAAACCUCUAGCUCACCUCUAGUAAAUCAUUUUAGCCUCAAAGACCUGAAAACUAAGCUCUCAGAAGAGCUAGCCUGUUAUAUCUCUCUGCCUCAGUUUCUUGGCCUUCAGGACUAAGAAGAUGCUUUCAGAUCUUUGAAAGUCAUGGCUAUUGUUUGGUAGCAAAGUGUUAUUUAUAUAUCCUGUAAUUAUCAGUAUGCAUUAUUAUUAUGGAUGAAUUAGACUUGCCUUGCAUUUGCAUCCAUAAUAUUUUAGAGCAGAAUUUUAGCCUUUGCUUCAUUCCCAUUUCACCCAGCCCUGCGAGCAUACUGCUAAAGCUCAGGAAGGUCAGAGUACAGGAACACUUAACACAUCUUUUGGAAGGCUGAUUGUAAAGCAGGCAUGGUAAUGUUUCACUGCCGUAAACUGAAGAGAUUACUGAUUAUACACAGUAAAGCUGUCACAGCUGAUGGUUUGUUUCAUGGACCUGCCACUGCAGGGCAACGUGGUUCUUCCACUGGAGACUCAGAUAGCCUUUGCUAGCAGAGCAGCUCGGGCUUUGUUCACCCUGCUCCUCUGGCUGCCGUUACACGUUGUGCAUCGAUUGAUGUUGUGCUGCACCCGCGCUAAUAAAUAAAAUGGGCAGGGCCA
rnacentral:lncRNA from 1 species